UGGAGCGGCGCAGAGUUGUCAUGGAAACGGAGAAACAACAACUGACAAGCAGCAAAAACAGCAGUCUCUCGCUGUUGUUUUCACUUCUUUCAGUUUAGUGUCUUCGGAAAACUCCUUUAGCAUCUCCGUUAGCAUCCCGUUUUCAGAAGAGCAGUGAAAAAAUAACCCCUCUACAACAGAGGGGAAGCUCCGAAGAUUUCAGCAUUUCUGAAGGAACCUGCUGACAGAAGAAGGAAACACAGAUACUUCCCUGCUGAUGCCUUGCACCACAGCAGAGAUGCCCAGCAAGGUUACUAGAGAUUACGGCAGCUCAAGUUUGGAUCCAGCCUCACUUGUGAAGGCUUCAGAUGAUGGAAACUAUAGAUGGACAUACAAAACUAACAGAUAUUAUCCUUAUAUUGUAAUCAUUAGUUCCGGUUUCACAGACAGGGCUUAGAUUAAGUCAGGAUUAGGUCUUAGUUAAAUUAGGACAUUUAAGUAGCUUUUUUAAACAUGCUUUAGAAAAAAUUAAAAACAUUACUGUUGUGCAUCUUGACAUAAAACAAUGACACUGACAUAUUUUAAGAUAUACUAUCAGUUAAAGGGUUAGUUCACUCCAAAAUUACAUUUGUCAUUAAUUACUCACUCUCAUGUCGUUCCACACCCGUAAGACC